UGUCCUAUGAGCCCUGCAAACAGCAGCUUAGUGGAUCCUGGAGGUAAGGCCGGGGCAGAAGAGGAAAAACAAGCUGGAUGUGGCAUGGUAAAGGUAGCUGAUGGGUUAGCUUGUGAGACCCUCUGGGGACUCUCAGAAUCACUGAACAAGCAAAGAGGAGGUGUCUUUCAUGAGCAGCACCAGUAACAUAUUCCUGCUUACUGCCAAGGGAACCCUACUUGUACCACCAGAAAGGCUGUAAAUACCUGGGGAAAUUGGAUCAUGGGAGACGGGAAGGAAGGAAUAAAAGUAAAUUUGUUGGAUGUUUAUGCACCUGGCAUGGUGUCAGGUCUGGAUUAGGAUAGCAGCUUCAGAGGUGGAGAGAAGUGAAUGGUCCCAGGGCUAGUCAGGAAGUUGAAGGGAGAAGACAGGAUCAAUGUGGGAGUGAUACGAUGGCCACCUCUUUCAGCCUGUGCAAUUGGUGUAGGACCCUUGCUCUCAGAUCCUGCUACUGAUACGAGGAAUGUAGCAGCGAGAGACACAAAAGCGAACCCUCUUCCUGUGGGAUUCCAGCCUAGGAGGGAAGACGGCGAACAAGAAGCGACAAGUGUGUUGCAUGCUACCGAGAGAUUCUGGCUGUUGACCACUUGGGAUGUUACUGUGCACUGGACACACACAAACUGAUGGAACUGAGGGGAUCCUUUACCUUGAAGAGUUGUUAAGCUCUCAUAGGAAGCCUUGGUGAUCCAUCUAAACUAUUCACUCUACUGGGCAGUUCUAGUGUUGAUUCUGACAUUAUUUGGCACUCAUCCGAAAAUACAUGCAGAAGAUGUGAAAAAGCCGGGCAAUCUACUAGGUAUACGUCGGAAUGUAUGGAAAAUUCUGAAAACAGCAAUGACUCAGACAAGGAUCAUGGAUGGAACUGGAGGCCAUUAUCCUUAACAAAGUUAUGCAGGAACAGAAAACCGAAUACUGCAUGUUCUCACUUAUAAGUAGGAGCUAAAUGGUAAGAACACAUGGACACAGAGGGAAACAACAGACACUGGGGCCUAUCUGAGGGUGGAGGGUUGGGGAGGACAGGACAAGGAAAAAUUACUAAUGGGUACUAGGCUUAACACCUGAGUGAUGAAAUAAUAUGUACA